UACGAAGGGGGCGAGCGUUGUUCGGAUUUACUGGGCGUAAAGCGCGUGUAGGCGGCCUUGUAAGUUUGGUGUGAAAGCCCGGGGCUUACCCCCGGAAGUGCACUGGAUACUGCGAGGCUAGAGUACCGGAGAGGAAAGUGGAAUUCCUGGUGUAGCGGUGAAAUGCGUAGAUAUCGAGAGGAACACCGGUGGCGAAGGCGGCCAACUGGACAGAUACUGACGCUGAGACACGAAAGCGUGGGGAGCAAACAGG
rnacentral:rRNA from 1 species